ensembl:misc_RNA Metazoa_SRP Metazoan signal recognition particle RNA
GCCAGGUGUGGUGGCGGGCACCUGUAAUCCUAGCUACUUGGGAGGCUGAGGUAGGAGAAUCGCUUGAACCUGGGAGGCGGAGGUUGCAGUGAGCCAAGACUACGCCACUGCACUCCAGCCUAGGCAACAAAGUGAGACUCCAUCUCAA